rnacentral:rRNA from 1 species
GCAUAUCAAUAAGCGGAGGAAAAGAAACCAACAGGGAUUCCCCUAGUAACGGCGAAGUGAAGCGGGAACAGCUCAAAUUUGAAAUCUGGCCCUCGGGUCCGAGUUGUAAUUUGUAGAGGAUGCUUUUGGUGCGGUGCCUUCCGAGUUCCCUGGAACGGGACGCCUUAGAGGGUGAGAGCCCCGUACGGUUGGACGCCUAGCCUCUGUAAAGCUCCUUCGACGAGUCGAGUAGUUUGGGAAUGCUGCUCUAAAUGGGAGGUAUAUUUCUUCUAAAGCUAAAUACUGGCCAGAGACCGAUAGCGCACAAGUAGAGUGAUCGAAAGAUGAAAAGCACUUUGAAAAGAGGGUUAAAUAGCACGUGAAAUUGUUGAAAGGGAAGCGUUUAUCACCAGACUUUUUCUAGGGGGAUCAUCCGGCGUUCUCGCCGGUGCACUUCCCCUAGUUGAGGCCAGCAUCGGUUUUCGGAGGGGGAUAAAAGCUUCGGGAAUGUGACUCCCUCGGGAGUGUUAUAGCCCGUUGCAUAAUACCCUUCUGGGGACCGAGGUUCGCGCAUCUGCAAGGAUGCUGGCAUAAUGGUGAUCAACGACCCGUCUUGAAACACGGACCAAGGAGUCGAACAUUUAUGCGAGUGUUUGGGUGUCAAACCCUCACGCGUAAUGAAAGUGAACGGAGGUGAGAGCCCGUACGGGUGCAUCAUCGACCGAUCCUGAUGUCUUCGGAUGGAUUUGAGUAAGAGCAUAACUGUUCGGACCCGAAAGAUGGUGAACUAUGCGUGGAUAGGGUGAAGCCAGGAGAAAUCCUGGUGGAGGCUCGCAGCGGUUCUGACGUGCAAAUCGAUCGUCAAAUUCUGCGCAUGGGGGGCGAAAGACUAAUCGAACCAUCUAGUAGCUGGUUACCGCCGAA